rnacentral:rRNA from 1 species
GCAGCCGCGGUAAUUCCAGCUCCAAUAGCGUAUAUUAAAGUUGUUGCGGUUAAAAAGCUCGUAGUUGGAUUUCUGUUUGAAGCGAUCGGUGCACCCUUUGGGUGAUCAUCUGGUGUGCUUUGGGCAUCCUCCUGGGGAACGUUCCUGCACUUGACUGUGUGGUGCGGAAUCUAGGACUUUUACUUUGAGGAAAUUAGAGUGUUCACUGCAGGCAUACGCCUUGAAUACAUUAGCAUGGAAUAAUAAUAUAGGACCUCGGUUCUAUUUUUUCGGUUUCUAGAGCUGAGGUAAUGAUUAACAGGGAUAGUUGGGGGCAUUCGUAUUUAACUGUCAAAGGUGAAAUUCUUGGAUUUGUUAAAGACUAACUACUGCGAAAGCAUUUGCCAAGGAUGUUUUCAUUGAUCAAGAACGAAAGUGAGGGGAUCGAAGACGAUCAGAUACCGCAAAGGGCUUGUCGAGGGCAUUGGUAUUGCGGAGCGAGAGGUGAAAUUCUAUGACCUCCGCAAGACCGCCCGAAGCGAAAGCGUCUGCCAAGGAUGUUUUCAUUAAUCAUGAACGAAAGUUAGAGGAUCGAA